rnacentral:sRNA from 1 species
GUGGAGAGGCUCUUGUGUCCAAGGCUGGCUUCAAACUAGCUACAAAGCCAAGGAUGGCCUUGAAUUUCUAAAUACCCGGAUUAAAGGUGAACAUCACUGAACCUGGAUUGUGAGGUCCUAGAAACAGAGCCCAGAGCUACCCGCAGCCAAACAAGCAGUCUAGCAGGCCUUGUCCAGCUGAGGUUCGCUCACUCUGUUCUGAUCCAGAGGAGAUUGCUGAGCCAUGUCAACUUGCCUGCUACCAUGUUCCCCAUCAUGACGGUCCUGAAUUCUAACCCUCUGGAAUGGAAUGACUCAAGCCCAAGACCUCUGACGGAGCAGAGCAACAUGAACCAUGUAAGCACAGACCAAGAAAAGAGUUUAAGACUUUGUUUGGAAAUACCUUAGCUUGUCUAUGCAUCUCCCUUUUUCACUUGAGGGCUUUUCCUUUCGUUUAUUAAAACAUUUUUCUCAGUAUAAAGUAACAUUUUCUUUACAUGCACAAUGCUUAGAGAACAGGGAAAUACACAAUCUAUAUUUUCUUGGUUCAGGUGAUUCGAAAGCCU